CCAGUCGGUGGGGCUACCCGCUGAGUUUAAGCAUAUAAAUAAUUGGAGGAGAAGAAACUUACAAGGAUUCCCCUUAGUAACGGCGAAAUUAACCGAUCAGCCCAGCUUUGAGAAUCGGGCGGCUGGCUGCCUGAAUUGUAGUUCGAGAAGCGCCCUCCGACGGACCGGGCCCAAAUCCCCUGAAAAGGGGCACCGGGAGGGUGAGAGCCCUGUCCGGCUCGGACCCUGUCGCACCACGAGGCGCUGUCGACGAAGUCGGGUUGUUUGGGGAAUGCAGCCCCAAUCGGGUGGUCAAUUCCGUCCAAAAAACAAAUAUGGGCGAGACCGAUAGCGAACAAGUACCGCGAGGGAAAGAUGAAAAGAACUUUGAAAAGAGAGUCAAAGAGUGCUUGAAAUUGCCGGGGGGAAGCGGAUGGGGGCCGGCGAUGCACCUCGGUCGGAUGCGAAUGGCGGUUAGCUGGUCCGCCCUUCGGCUCGGGUGCGGAUCGAUCUGGCUGCAUCGACGGCAGUGAAGCCCGACGGAUCGUUCGUUCGAGGGGAUACCGCUGAUGCGGUCGAGGACAUGACGCGCCACGCCAUCGGGCGUUCCCCGCGGUACAAGUGCGACCUGAAGGCAUCGGCCAGUGGGCUCCCCAUCCCACCGCCUUGAAACACGGACCAAGGAGUCCGACAUGCGUCGAAGUCGACGGGUGCGAAACCCGGAAGGCAAUAAGGAAGCUAACGGGCAGGAACCCUCUCGAGGGUUGCAACGCCGGCCGACCCGAUCUUCUGUUAAGGGUUCGAGUUGGAGCAUGCAUGUCGGGACCGAAAGAUGGUGAACUAUGCCCUUCGAGCAAGGCGAAGCCGAGGAAACUCUGGUGGAGGCCCGGCGAUCUUGGCGAUGCAAAUCGUUCGUCGACUUGGGUAUAGGGCGAAGACUAAUCGAACCAUCUAGUAGCCGGUUCCCUCCGAUGUUUCCUCAUAUGCCGGAGCCCACGCGAAGUUCUAUCGGGUAAAGCCAAUGAUUAGAGGCAUCGGGGGGCAAACGCCCUCGACCUAUUCUCAAACUUUAAAUAGGUAGGACCAGUAGCGGCUGCUUAAAUUGAGCCGCCGCUGAAUCGAGAGCUCCAAGUGGGCCAUUUUUGGUAGCAGAACUGGCGAUGUCAGGAUGAACCGGAAGCCGGUUACGCGUCUAAUCUAGCAGCUAACCCUGCACACUACAAAGGGUGUUGGUCGAUUAAGACAGUGGGGCGGUGGUCAUGGAAGUCGAAAUCCGCUAAGAGUGUGUAAACAACUCACCCGCCAAUCAACUAGCCCCGAAAAUGGAUGGCGCUGAAGCUGCCCGACCCACCCCGCCAUCGGGCGGCGCCAAGCCCCGAUGAGUAGGAGGGCGGAAGCGGAUGGCCAUAAAACCCAGGCGCGAGAAACGGCGGAGCGACCGUCGGUGCAGAUCUUGGUGGUAGUAGCAAAUAUUCAAAUGAGAACUUUGAAGGCCGAAGAGGGGAAAGGUUCCAUGAACGGCACUUGCACAUGGGUUAGCCGAUCCUAAGGACCGGGAAGCCCGUCCGAGAGCCGUUCCUCCGCAAAUGAGUUCGAAAGGAAUCGGGUUAAAAUUCCGAGCCGGACGCCGGGCGGACGGGCAAUGUUAGGAAGUCCGAGACGUCGGCGGGGGCUCCGGAAGAGUUAUCUUUUCUGCUUAACAGCCCGCCCACCCUGAAACGGCUCAGCCGGAGGUAGGGUCCAGCGGUCGGAAGAGCGCCGCCGUCGCCAGCGGCAUCCGGGCAGCCGGCGGCACUUGAAAAAUGAGUACCGAGUGCCGCCCGCCCCGCCGUAUUCAUAACCGCAUCAGGUCUCCAAGGUGAACAGCCUCUGCCCGUGGAACAAUAUAGGCAAGGGAAGUCGGCAAAACGGAUCCGUAACCCGGGAAAAGAUUGGCUCGGAGGCUGGGCACGGGGUCCCGGCCCCAACCCGCCGGUUGUCGACGGACUGCUCGAGCUGCUUUCAUCGGGCGAGCUGGUCACCGCGUCGGCGGGGACGGACGGAAUGGCCCCUUGGGGGGCUUCCCCGAACAGCGAACAGUUUACCGACUCUUGGGUACGGACAAGGGGAAUCCAUCUGUUUUAUUAAAACAAAGCAUUGCGAUGGUCCCCGUGGAUGCUCACGCAAUGUGAUUUCUGCCCGCUCAAAUGUCAAAGUGAAGAAAUUCAACCAAAGCGGUAAACGAUUGGGAGUAACUAUGACUCUCUUUAAAGGUAGCCAAAUGCCUCGUCAUCUAAUUAGUGACGCUGUGAUGAAUGGAUUAACGAGAUUCCCACUGUCCCUCCUCUACUAUCCAAAUAAACCACAGCCAAGGGAACGGGCUUGGCAGAAUCAGCGGGAAAGACGACCCUGUUGAGCUUGACUCUAGUCCGACUUUAUGAAAUGACUUGAGAGGUGUAGGAUAAGGGAGAGCGGUUCAUGCAUGGAAGUGAAAUACCACUACUUUUAACGUUAUUUUACUUAUUCGAGUCGGAGGCGGGCCCCGCCCCUCCUUUUGACCCGGGCCGCCCUGGCGGGCCGAUCCGCGAAGACAUAGUCAGGGGGGGAGUUUGGCUGGGGCAGCACAACUGUUAAAAGAUAACGCAGGUGUCCUAAGAUGAGCUCAACGAGAACAUAAAUCUCGUGGAAAACAACAAAAGGGUAAAAGCUCGUUUGAUUCUGAUUUCUAGUACGAAUAUGAACCGUGAAAGCGUGGCCCAUCGAUCCUUUAGACCUUCGGAAUUUGAAGCUAGAGGUGUCGGAAAAAAAAAAGUUACCACAGGGAUAACUGGUUUGUGGCAAGCCGCGUUCAUAGCGACGUUGCUUUUUGAUCAUUCGAUGUCGGCUCUUCCUAUCAUUGUGAAGUAGAAUUCACCAAGUGUUGGAUUGUUCACCCACCAAUAAGGAACGGAGCUGGGUUUAGACCGUCGUGAGACAGGUUAGUUUUACCCUACCGAUGAUCGUGUCGCGAUAGUAAUUCAACCUAGUAAUGAGAGGAACCGUUGAUUCACAAAUUGGUCAUCGCGCUGGUUGAAAAGCCAGUGGCCGGUUAAGUUACCGGUGUCGGAUUAUGACUGAAGGCCUCUAAGUCAGAAUCCUAGCAAUCGGCGCCUCGCCGUCGUUCGCCUCCCGACCCACAGUAGGGGCCUUUGGCCCCCAUGGGCUCGUGUCCUCCCGGUAGUCCUCGGUGGUGGUAUAGCCACCAGGCGGCCAUCGGGAAGUGAAAUUCCGCACGGACGACGGGCGAAUCCUUUGCAGACGACUUAAAUACGCUGAUGGGGCAUUGUAAGUGGUAGAGUGGCCUUGCUGCCACGAUCCACUGAGAUCCAGC
rnacentral:rRNA from 1 species